rnacentral:rRNA from 1 species
AUUGAACGCUGGCGGCAUGCUUUACACAUGCAAGUCGAACGGCAGCGCGGGCUUCGGCCUGGCGGCGAGUGGCGAACGGGUGAGUAAUGCAUCGGAACGUGCCCAGUAGUGGGGGAUAGCCCGGCGAAAGCCGGAUUAAUACCGCAUACGACCUGAGGGUGAAAGCGGGUGACCGCAAGGCAUCUCGCUUUUCGAGCCGCCGAGGUCGGAUUAGCUAGUUGGUGGGGUAAAGGCUUACCAAGGCGACGAUCCGUAGCUGGUCUGAGAGGACGACCAGCCACACUGGGACGGAGCCACGGCCCAGACUCCUACGGGAGGCAGCAGUGGGGAAUUUUGGACAAUGGGGGCAACCCUGAUCCAGCCAGGCCGCGGGCGGGAAGAAGGCCUUCGGGUGGUAAACCGCUUUUGUUCGGGAAGAAAUCCUCUGGGCUAAUACCCCGGGGGGAUGACGGUACCGGAAGAAUAAGCACCGGCUAACUACGUG